GGUAGUGGAAGAGGUCGGAACUGCCCACCGCCUUGGUUAUGACGGGUUUCUGUCAUACUAUAGCGGCGCGAAGUUGCGUACUUAUUCGAAUGCC
rfam:Maize necrotic streak virus, complete genome.